rnacentral:rRNA from 1 species
GGGGAAAAUUUAAUAAAGGGGCAUUUAAUAAAAGGAAUUUUAAUUUUAUUAUUAUUAAUUUAUUUAUGGGGGUUAAAGUAAAUUAAUAAGAAAAAAUAAAAAAUUUUAUAGUUAAUUAUGUAUUGUGAAAGAAUUUUGAAAUAUUUAAUUAAAAAUUAAUUUAAUAAAAAGUAAUUUUAAUUUAAUGUAUCUUGUGUAUCAGAGUUUAUUAAAAAAAAUUAUUAGUUAGUAAAUUCUCGAAUUUAAAAGAGUUAAUUAAUUAUAAAAGUUAUUGUAGCAUAAAUAUUUUUAAUAUUUAAUUAGUAAUGAAAUGUUAAUCGUUUUUAAAUAUAUCUAGUUUUUUUAGAAAAAAAUUUAAUUUUGAAUUUAUUGAAUUAUUAUGAUUUAUUUGAUUAAUUUUAAUGAUUUAUUUAUUUAUAUAUAUAUAUAUAUAUAUAUAAUUUAUUAUUUAAUUUUUAAAUAAAUUUAAUAUUUUAAGGGAUAAGCUUUAAUUUAUAAAAAUAUAAUUUUAUUAAUUUUUAAAAUUGAAAAAUAUAUAAUUUAUAUUGUUAAAAAUUUUUAAUUUAUUAUAAAUAAUUUCAUUAAAAAAUAAAAUUUAAUUUUAAAUUUAUUAAUUUAUAAAAAAAAUUUUUUUAAUUUAAAAUAAUUAGUUAAAAUGAUAAAAUUAGUAUAUUUGUAUAAAUAAAUGAAUAUAUAUAUAUAUAUAUAUAUACAUAUAAUUAGAAUUAUUUUAAAGGAAUUCGGCAAAUUUUUAUAUUCACUUGUUUAUCAAAAACAUGUCUUUUUGGUUAAUAAUUUAAAGUCUAAUCUGCCCACUGAUAGUAAUUAAAGGGCUGCAGUAAUUUGACUGUACAAAGGUAGCAUAAUCAUUAGUCAUUUAAUUGAUGACUUGUAUGAAAGAUUGGAUGAGAUAUAAGCUGUCUUUAAUAUAAAAAUAGAAUUUAAUUUUUUAAUUAAAAAGUUAAAAUAAAUAAGAAAGACGAGAAGACCCUAUAGAGUUUUAUUAUUUUUUAAAUGGAUAAUAUUUAUAAAUUUUAUUUAUUGUAAGGAUUUAAAAAAUAAUUUUAUUGGGGUGAUGGAAAAAUUUAAUUAACUUUUUUUUUUUUUUUAACAUAAAUAAAUGGUUUAAUGAUCCAAUAUUAUUGAUUAUAAGAAAUAAUUACCUUAGGGAUAACAGCGUAAUUUUUUUUUUUAGUUCACAUAAAAAAAAGAGUUUGCGACCUCGAUGUUGGAUUAAGAUAAAAUUUAAAUGUAGAAGUUUAAAGUUUUGAUCUGUUCGAUCAUUAAAAUCUUACAUGAUCUGAGUUCAAACCGGUGUAAGCCAGGUUGGUUUCUAUCUUUUUAGAGUUAUAAUAUUUUAGUACGAAAGGAUUGAAUAUUUGAAUUAAAUUUAUUUUAUUGAAAAUUAUUAAUUUUAUUAGAAUAAAAUAAAAAUAUGUAAGUAUAUAUAUAUAUAUAUAUAUAUAUAUAUAUAUAU